rnacentral:lncRNA from 1 species
UCGAAUUGCUAAAUCAAAAAAUCUACAUCCCAAAAGAAACAACAAUGGGUUUGCAUUUUUUAGAAGUUUAUCAAAUAUUUAAUGAGGCAAACCCAUAUACUGUCCAUUGCAUACACAUGUAAUUCACAGACUAUAGACAACCCUUAUUUCCCAAAUGGGAUUGACAGAACAUUGCCAAAAUAUGGUUCAAUCAAUUUUUCUUGAUUUUCAUCUUCAUUGAUCAAUCUAGUCCUCCCAUCAACCAUAGUUUCCAGUCUACAAAACUUAUCACUUUGCGUAAAUUCUCAAAUAGCAAUCAUCCUCCACGGGAUACAAAAUUCUCAUCCACUUAUACGCAUAUUGUAUGUAUACAAUAGCUAGUCCCCCGAAUCAUCACCACCUCCGAAGAUGGAUACACGGUUGUAAAGGAGGAACAAAACAAGUACAAGAACUAGUGCAACUUGGAUCGGUGAGCUACUGACUCGGUGGAUGGUAUUGGGUUCUCCGGUAGAGAAACUGCUUAAAAUGAAUGAACAGCUGUCACAGGAAAAGAGUUGGAUGAUGAGGAGGAGGAGCCAACUGGGUUGAGCAACUCAGCGAUGAACUUAGUAAGGGCUUCACUUUGGCCAGGGAAUAAUGUCGGCACCACUACUACUAACACAACCAUCACCGCAGAGAUGGUGGCAUGGCGAGGUUCGCAAGGCGGUAUUCUAUAAUUUUUGUGGUGGUUGUGAAUUGUGUGCGUGAUUUUCUUGAUCUUGUUUUUGUUAUUCAGUUGCUUGAUAGGGUAAAUGAGUGGACAAUAGAUGCGUAAACUUAGGGAUGUCAACGAAUCGAGUCGAGUUAGCUCGCGAGUCGAAAUUCGAGGCUCGGCUCGAGUAAAAUCAGGUCAGCCUUUUUUUGGCCCGAUUCGAGCAAAAACUUAGCCAAAAAAUCGAGACUCAACUCAAGCUUUCAAGUCGAGCCGAGUCGAGUUGACUCGGUUAGUUUUGUUGUUUUUUAGUAUCACAAAUAGGCAGCAACGUGCUGCUUUUUUAGCUACCUCUUUUUUUCGAAACGGCCCGACAAGCCACACUUUCCAGCUCUAGGCUUGAGCUUUUCUCAGUCGAGUCGACGAGCCAAAUUGUCAUUCCUACGUAAACUUAUCGUGUGGAUUGGGGUAUUCUUGUAGAGAGAUUAGGGUCGAAAUGGGUUUCUAUAUUAUUGUAAUUCAUAACCUGCUUUUUGAAAUACUUUUAUAAGUUUGUUAAAUAUGAAAUUGUAUAUUUAAUGUAUUGUAGUUCUGUAUUUUUCCCAUAAAAAAAUGGAAAUUACAUGGAAG